rnacentral:rRNA from 1 species
AGCAGCCGCGGUAAUUCCAGCUCCAAUAGCGUAUAUUAAAGUUGCUGCAGUUAAAAAGCUCGUAGUUGAAUUUCGGGAUCGGUAUAUCGGUCGUGCCUCGGUACGUACUGGUAUUUUCGGUUUCUCCCUUCUGACGAACCUUGAUGUCAUUAAUUUGGUGUCUUGGGGAAUCAGGACUGUUACUUUGAAAAAUUAGAGUGUUUAAAGCAGGCUCACGCUUGAAUACAUUAGCAUGGAAUAAUGAAAUAGGACGUUUGAUUCUAUUUUGUUGGUUUCUAGGAUCGACGUAAUGAUUAAUAGGGAUAGUUGGGGGCAUUAGUAUUCAAUUGUCAGAGGUGAAAUUCUUGGAUUUAUUGAAGACUAACUACUGCGAAAGCAUUUGCCAAGGAUAUUUUCAUUAAUCAAGAACGAAAGUUAGGGGAUCGAAGACGAUCAGAUACCGUCGUAGUCUUAACCAUAAACUAUGCCGACUAGGGAUCGGAUGAUGUUAAUUUUUAAUGGUCUCAUUCGGCGCCUUACG